AGACUUCUGUAUCCGUGCUGAGAUUUCGUCACAACAGACCACAAGGGCUGACGAGACUCCCAAGAUAAGUGAAGCG
rnacentral:pre_miRNA from 1 species